UUAGAUUACGAGAAUCUUUCCAUAACAUUUUCUGGAGCAAACUUUGAUUGGAUUGGAAAGUGUCCUACUCAACCUGGAAAAGUGGAAUGUGGAUAUUAUGUAAUGAAGUUCAUGAAAGCAAUCAUUGAGGAUCCAACCAUAUUAACAAGAAGCAAGUUCAACAACCAAAGUUACAAUCAAGAAGAGAUAGAUGAUGUUCGAGUAGAGUGGGCUGACCUUGUUGAAACAUUACUCCAAGAUGAUGUAGAAUAGUUUGGUUGGUAUAUUUUGCAAAGUACAUAUUAAGUUGAGUUUUUGUUUUUGUAAGCACUAGAAGUACAUGUAAUCUAAUCUCACCAAGACUUGCGGUUGGCAAUGUGUAUUUUGGAUGCCACGAGUCUUGGGAUAAUUUGUACACAUUGCUUGGAAUCUCCAUGACAAAAAUA